UACGGAGGGUGCGAGCGUUGUUCGGAAUCACUGGGCGUAAAGCGCGUGUAGGCGGCCUUUUAAGUUCGAUGUGAAAGCCCGGGGCUCACCCCCGGAAGUGCAUUGGAUACUGGGAGGCUGGAGUACCGGAGAGGAGGGUGGAAUUCCUGGUGUAGCGGUGAAAUGCGUAGAUAUCAGGAGGAACACCUGUGGCGAAGGCGGCCCUCUGGACGGAUACUGACGCUGAGACGCGAAAGCGUGGGGAGCAAACAGG
rnacentral:rRNA from 1 species